UACGAAGGUGGCAAGCGUUGUUCGGAUUUACUGGGCGUACAGGGAGCGUAGGCGGUUGGAUAAGCCCUCCGUGAAAUCUCCAGGCUUAACCUGGAAAGUGCAGAGGGGACUGUUCAGCUAGAGGAUGGGAGAGGAGCGCGGAAUUCCCGGUGUAGCGGUGAAAUGCGCAGAGAUCGGGAGGAACACCCGUAGCGAAGGCGGCACUCUGGGCCGGUACUGACGCUGAGGAGCGAAAGCGUGGGGAGCAAACAGG
rnacentral:rRNA from 1 species